rnacentral:rRNA from 1 species
CUUGGUGGUUUUCGCGUGCGCGCAACACCCCAUCCCAUUCCGAACUGGACCGUGAAAAGCCACAGCGCCGAUGGUACUCCGUCUUAAGACGCGGGAGAGUAGGUCACUGCCAAGU